UACGUAGGGUGCGAGCGUUAAUCGGAAUUACUGGGCGUAAAGCGUGCGCAGGCGGUUUUGUAAGCCAGAUGUGAAAUCCCCGGGCUCAACCUGGGAAUGGCCUUUGGGACUGCAAGGCUUGAGUGCGGCAGAGGAGACUGGAAUUCCUGGUGUAGCAGUGAAAUGCGUAGAUAUCAGGAGGAAUACCGAUGGCGAAGGCAGGUCUCUGGGCUGACACUGACGCUCAUGCACGAAAGCGUGGGGAGCAAACAGG
rnacentral:rRNA from 1 species